UCACUUUAUAUUCACGCAAUGCGCGCUAUAUAGGGUGUGCUGGUUUCGGCCAGAUAUGGCGAUAAAUUGCGAUGUGCAAUAGAUACAACGGACCCGGGGGCAGUACCCGGCGGCUCCACCAAAAUCCCCGUUCUGCGGGGUUCCUGAUGGGGCCGAACUAGGAUCGACGUGUGUUGAAAAGCAUUGUUUUUGCCCGGGUUGAGAAACCCCGUAAAAGGCUCAUUUUUAUAAGUGCAAACGAUAACGAAGCACUCGCUCUCGCAGCGUAAUCUGACGGCCUAACGGCCUGAUCUUACAAAGCUAAAGCGCGGUUGGACCCACCGGGCAACAGAAGCGGAUUCCG
rnacentral:tmRNA from 1 species